UGAGGAAUCUUGCGCAAUGGACGAAAGUCUGACGCAGCGAUGCCGCGUGGGGGAUGAAGGCUUUCGGGUUGUAAACCCCUUUUGGUGGGAAAGAAACACCCGGAUGUUAACAGCGUCCGGGCUUGACGGUACCCACAGAAAAAGCCACGGCUAACUCUGUGCCAGCAGCCGCGGUAAGACAGAGGUGGCAAGCGUUGUCCGGAAUUACUGGGCGUAAAGAGCGCGUAGGUGGCUAGAUAAGUCCGGUGUGAAAUCCUUCGGCUUAACCGGGGAAUGGCAUCGGGGACUGUUUAGCUAGAGGACGGGAGAGGAGAGCGGAAUUCCCGGUGUAGCGGUGAUAUGCGUAGAGAUCGGGAGGAAGGCCGGUGGCGAAGGCGGCUCUCUGGAACGUCCCUGACGCUGAGGCGCGAAAGCGUGGGGAGCAAACAG
rnacentral:rRNA from 1 species